AUGUGGCUUAAUUUGACUCAACGCGGGAAAUCUUACCGGGUCCGGACACACUGAGGAUUGACAGGCAAUAUAUGUGACUCUUCGGAGUUUGCAUUGUUAAAUAUGCUAGUCCUUUCAUGAUUAUGUGAUAGGUGGUGCAUGGCCGUUCUUAGUUCGUGGAGUGAUCUGUCUGCUUAAUUGCGUUUCAAAUUACUUAUAAGGUAGCAAUACGCGAUGAAGCUUUCAAUAGUCCUCACGGAUUCACUUGAGUCUCUCGCUUCGCUAUCCUUUCGAAUGCAACGAACGUGACCGCAACCUCUUGUUGCCUUCGUUUAACAUCCUGCAGCUCGCUGUGGGUACUGAGGGCUUCACUCGGUGACUUUGGGCUGAGCAAUCGGUCUUUUGAUCUGAGUAAACUAGAGGGACCGCUGUCAACUUCUUAAACCANAGGAAGGUUGCGGCAAUAACAGGUCUGUGA
rnacentral:rRNA from 1 species